rnacentral:rRNA from 1 species
AGCGAAAUUCCUUGUCGGGUAAGUUCCGACCCGCACGAAAGGCGUAACGAUCUGGGCACUGUCUCAACGAGAGACUCGGUGAAAUUAUAGUGUCCGUGAAGAUGCGGACUACCCGCGACAGGACGGAAAGACCCCAUGGAGCUUUACUGUAGCUUGAUAUUGAGUGUUUGUACAGCUUGUACAGGAUAGGUAGGAGCCAUAGAAACCGGAACGCUAGUUUCGGUGGAGGCGUUGGUGGGAUACUACCCUCGCUGUAUGACCACUCUAACCCGCACCACUAAUCGUGGUGGGAGACAGUGUCAGGUGGGCAGUUUGACUGGGGCGGUCGCCUCCUAAAAAGUAACGGAGGCGCCCAAAGGUUCCCUCAGAAUGGUUGGAAAUCAUUCGCAGAGUGUAAAGGCACAAGGGAGCUUGACUGCGAGACAGACAGGUCGAGCAGGGACGAAAGUCGGGCUUAGUGAUCCGGUGGUACCGUAUGGAAGGGCCAUCGCUCAACGGAUAAAAGCUACCCUGGGGAUAACAGGCUUAUCUCCCCCAAGAGUCCACAUCGACGGGGAGGUUUGGCACCUCGAUGUCGGCUCAUCGCAUCCUGGGGCUGUAGUCGGUCCCAAGGGUUGGGCUGUUCGCCCAUUAAAGCGGUACGCGAGCUGGGUUCAGAACGUCGUGAGACAGUUCGGUCCCUAUCCGUCGCGGGCGUAGGAAAUUUGAGAGGACCUGUCCUUAGUACGAGAGGACCGGGAUGGACGCACCGCUGGUGUACCAGUUGUCUUGCCAAAGGCAUCGCUGGGUAGCUAUGUGCGGAAGGGAUAAGUGCUGAAAGCAUCUAAGCAUGAAGCCCCCCUCAAGAUGAGAUUUCCCAUUACCUGCUUGCAGGUAAGUAAGAUCCCUGAAAGACGAUCAGGUAGAUAGGUCCGGUGUGGAAGUGUGGCGACACAUGGAGCUGACGGAUACUAAUCGAUCGAGGACU